GAACAUUGCAAUAGUCGAAAUUUGGAGCUGUUGGUUUUUAUUUCGUCUAAAACGAAAAAACUGUCAAGUCGUCUCGCUGGAUGAAGAUAGGCUAGUUGGUAGCAAGGAUGCUUUGGAUGUUAAGGCAAAUGAAAACACAGUACUUACCACCAAAUCCCUAAAACUGGUCCAAAAGAAAGAAAACUGUAAAGAAGAAAAUUAAAUAUAAUUAAAAA